UUAUAUAGUUCCUCUUGACUGGAAAGUUUCAAAGAUGAUCUAUUUACUGUGGAAGACCUCUGUGGAGGAAAAACAGAAAACAAAUGGAUUGCAGAACGGAAGUGCCUUGGCUGAUUAUACUAUUAGUCUUGAAGAUAAAAAUCACCAAGAGAAUCAAGACUCUUCUGAAACACUUCCAGAAAUGGAGCUGUUUCAAGGAGUGAUAGAGGAGAACAUCAUGACCUACACUAGCACUGGCUGCCUGGAUGCUGUGUGUCAUCAGUUAUGACUGACCAUCUUAAAUUCUGCAUGAAGGAAAAGAAACUUCUCACUUUGAUUCCACCAUGGAAGGACUUCAGUUGGCUGCCAAGGAUUUUAAAUGUGAUGAAUAACCUGGAAGAAAGUAACCACUGUAGAUUUUUGGUGUGAAUCUUUGGCCAUCUUCCCCCCCCAGCCCCCCAAUAUCAACCUCUCUGUCCCUGUAAUAAAAAUCAAAAUUGAGAUAACUUUGUUUUGUGUGGCAAAAGGUCACUUUUUGAAGCCAUUUGGGAUUUAUACCUUCUCAGUACAUCCUUGAGUGUGGUACAAAGAGAUUGAGAGUAGAGACCAGUAAGCAGAAAGGAGGUGUCUGUUGGCAUGAGGUGUGAGCUUCAGGCUCUGGUAUUUAAUUCACUUGUAUCAGCAUCCAAGAUGUUGCCACACAAACCAGUACAUGAACUGAUAGUGAUGCCUACCUGCAGGGAAAGGUGCCUGUUAUGUGUUUUAUCCUACUUCUGCCUUUCAUCCUGUCAGUCAUAAUUACACCCCAGUCUCUUUACAAUGUUAAGUGACAAAAGUCUUUAAUCAUUCUUAUUCUUUCAUCUAGAGGUGCACAACUUACCUUGUUUUCUUCUGAGACCAGGCUUAAUGCUUCCCUUCAACUAGACUCAUUUGGGACUAUGGAAAUAAGGAGAAAAUUUCACUGUAGACCUGAUUCAAACACACUGGAGGAAAUAUGCGUAUGAUUUGUGG
rnacentral:lncRNA from 1 species